GGUUCAAAGGAGUGUGUUCUUCUUCUUCUUCAUCUUCUUCUUCUACUGAAUGAAAGCAAAGUGACGGCUUCGUUUGAAACGGCAUCGUUUUACUUGGAAUAAGUUUUUUUUAAUUCGGCGUUUACUUGGAUAAGUUUUUAAUUCAGGCACGUUCGUAAAACGGUUUAAAAGCCCGUUAACGCAUUUUGUUAUUUUCUCUGCGGGUUUGAUCGAUCAAAAGAAUCGAACCAAGGGGGGACGAAGUAACAAAGGAGGUAAUCAAAACCAUUGGGAUUAGAAGACAAUUACGAAAAAAAGAAAUUUUUUUUUUUGGUUCCGCUCCAUUGCUAUCAUCAUCAUCUUCAACCUUCAAAAAUUCUUCUUCUCCCUUCUUCAACAUCACAAAAAACCUAACCUCCGAUUUCUUCAGAUUCCUCCUCAAUUUAGAGCUAAUUAAGUUCCCAACAUCAUGAGUAAUCAAAGGAAGAGAAAUUUCCAGAUUGAAGCGUUUAAGCAACGAGUCGUGGUUGAUCCAAAAUACGCAAAUAAGACUUGGAAGAUCCUCGAACAUGCGAUUCAUGAGAUUUACAAUCACAACGCUAGUGGAUUCAGUUUCGAAGAGCUUUACAGGAAACGCUUACAACAUAGUUCUACAUAAAUUUGGGGAAAAGCUUUAUACUGGACUUGUUACCACUAUGACGUUUCAUCUCAAAGAGAUUUGUAAUUCUAUUGAAGAAGAUCAAGGAGGUGCUUUUUUAGAAUUGCUUAAUAGGAAAUGGAAUGAUCACAACAAAGCUUUGCAGAUGAUUAGGGAUAUUCUCAUGUAUAUGGAUCGGACUUACGUUCCCGGUUGUAAAAAGACUCAUGUUCAUGAGCUUGGACUUCAUCUUUGGAGGGAUAGUGUUGUGCAUUCCAACAAGAUUCAUAUAUAUAUAUAUAUAUAUAUAUAUAUAUAUGAUUAUGGAUUUAAAAAAGAAGAAGCGAUUUUUCCAUUAUAACAAGCACGAUUGGUCAUAAUU